rnacentral:rRNA from 1 species
GGCGAGUCAGAAACCGUUGAUGUAGUCGAAGGACAUGCGAAAGGUCCGGCGUAGAGGGUAAGACCCCCGUAGACGAAACAUCAGCGGCUUGCUUGCUCAUCUCCCAAGUAGCACGGGGCCCGAGAAAUCCCGUGUGAAUCUGGCGGGACCACCCGCUAAGCCUAAAUAUUCCCUGGUGACCGAUAGCGGAUAGUACCGUGAGGGAAUGGUGAAAAGUACCGCGGGAGCGGAGUGAAAUAGUACCUGAAACCGUGUGCCUACAAGCCGUGGGAGCGUCGCU